CAUUUUUUUUAAUUGAGUUCUGUAGCAAGGGAAGGUAGAAGCUGCAAGAAUGAUUGGCAGGUCUUGAGACUUAGAAUCGUAUAUGAGCUGGUUGGGUCAGAGUUCCAAAGGGGCAGUUUUCCAACUGACUUAGUCUGGAGCUGAAAGUGAAGAAGGAAGAUGUGUAGCUGAGACUCCCUGAACAAACCACCUAUCAAGCAACUGGCCUUUGAGGAUCAACUGGCUGAGGGUGAAAGGAAAAUCACCAGUCUUCCUGGUGGACAGAUUGACUGGGGGAAAGACCUCUACCUUGCUGGACCAUCUGAGGACACCACAACUUGAAUUCCUGAUAUCUGCCCAACCACUGACUCUCAUUUUUCUGCAAAGGAAUAUAUUGACCCCACAGGUUUCACCUGACGCCAAAGAAUCCAUGACACAAAAAAGGGGAGAAGAGGAUGGCUGA
rnacentral:lncRNA from 1 species